rnacentral:rRNA from 1 species
AACGAACGCUGGCGGCAUGCCUAACACAUGCAAGUCGAACGGACGGUAGCAAUACCGUUAGUGGCGGACGGGUGAGUAACGCGUGGGAACCUGCCUCGAAGUUCGGAAUAACCGCGGGAAACUGCGGCUAAUACCGGAUGUGGCCUGAGGGGUCAAAGGCGCAAGUCGCUUCGAGAGGGGCCCGCGUCCGAUUAGCUAGUUGGUGGGGUAACGGCCGUACCAAGGCGACGAUCGGUAGCUGGUCUGAGAGGAUGAUCAGCCACACUGGGACUGAGACACGGCCCAGACUCCUACGGGAGGCAGCAGUGGGGAAUAUUGGACAAUGGGGGAAACCUGAUCCAGCAAUGCCGCGUGGGUGAUGAAGGCCUUCGGUUGUUAAGUACCGUUUCGGUCGGGUACGGAGUGAUGACGGUACCG